UCCAUCAGACAAUGUGAAGCCUUCAGAGACCCCAUCCUACAUCUAUGAUGGAGGGAGGUCUUAGGUGGAAACUGCGAACAUUAUGCUAUUUUUCAUCACAUGGA